ACAAUGGAACUCUGCGGCACUGGCUAUGCUGGCCCAAACAAGCCCGAAUCAUUGUCCUGGCACAAACUGGCUACAUUUACAGAUAGGAUAGCUUUACUACAAAUAAGCGGUUCUGGAAGUGCACCAGUUAUGAUCAGUACAAGUGCAAAGGUCGCAUCACCCUCACUGCCAGGCGUAUCACCAAGAUAACGGGAGAACACAACAAUGCCAUGUACGGAUCAGAGAUUGUAGAGGGUUGGCUGGUUUUGAAGGAGGAACUGGAGACCCAGAAGUGUGAAUGCCUGUUCGCCGGUUGUGUUUGUGUUGAGUAAGCCCUGGCCUUUUGAACAGGAGGACCUAUAGAACAACCAGAGAGCUACCGUGGCAGGGCGGGUGGACAGCUGUUCCUCCAGCAUGGCAGUGGGCCAGGACCAUAAAGGUUUCUUAUCUUCACAAUGACAUACAACCUGGAUUUCCUGUGCCAGUCCUCAUCCUGGUGUGUAGAUGGGUCAUUCAAAGGGGCCCCACCUUUGUUUCAGCAGUUGUACACCUUUUCGUGGCAGCAACAGUCAACCGUGAUUCCAGCAGCCUAUAUUUUGCAGCCCUAUAAGUCUGAGGCUAUAUACACUCUUGUGUUGGAGGCACUGAGGAGCCUGAGAUGAAACCAGACUCCAUCAUGACUGACUUAGCACCAGUAGCUGUGAAGGCCUUGUUGUUUCAAGAGGUACACAUUCAGGGUUCCUUCGUCCAUCUCAGCCAGAACUUUUGGCGGUAUGUGGAAGAUGAAUUUAUCCCGAGCCAUGAAGAGCUGGUAUCAAUGUACCGCAGAGACUCCAACUCCAGCGCUUGCAUUCGUCCGAUGUGGAGAGAUGCUAUGAGGAGCUGGAGGAGCUGAUAUUAACCACUUACUCUGAGGACCGGGAGCUGCACGAUGUUGUGUGACACUGUGAGUACAGAUUCAUUAGGGCCUGGAGAUUAUUUCGAGAAGUCACCAGAAGAGCUCCAGCAUUUGCCAAAGAAAUGUGGAACUACUAUGAUGUUGUCGAGCAGAAAGACUUUGUGAAGACCAACAACCCACUGGACACACAGUGGUUGAAUCAACACUUUUUCCACUGAAUUUCAAUGAAUUGACAUCUGUGCCCAGUGGGAAGGCACUGGAGGACUAGCAUCAGGCCUUCAGGGCUCUUGUUGGUGCCACACACCCCACAGUUUUGGAGUUCAUCGAUGCCCUGCAACAACAACAGGCUCUUGUUGGUGCCACACACCCCACGGUUUUGGAGUUCAUCGAUGCCCUGCAACAACAACAGGCUCUUGUUGGUGCCACACACCCCACGGUUUUGGAGUUCAUCGAUGCCCUGCAACAACAACAGGCUCUUGUUGGUGCCACACACCCCACGGUUUUGGAGUUCAUCGAUGCCCUGCAACAACAACAGGCUCUUGUUGGUGCCACACACCCCACGGUUUUGGAGUUCAUCGAUGCCCUGCAACAACAACAGGCUCUUGUUGGUGCCACACACCCCACGGUUUUGGAGUUCAUCGAUGCCCUGCAACAACAACAGGCUCUUGUUGGUGCCACACACCCCACGGUUUUGGAGUUCAUCGAUGCCCUGCAACAACAACAGGCUCUGACUGAACCUCAACUGAACCAGUUCUUCGCUGGCAACCUACCAUCCCCAGAGAGAGUCUGCACUAGCCUGGAGAAGGUAACGCGGCUUGUGGGGGACUACCACAAUCUACCCCUGAUGGAUUACCUGCGACACAUUGACACAUUCCAGCUGCAGGUGUGAUGACUGCAUCAAACCAACAAUCAUUAAAAUACUAUUUCCUGGCACAUCUGUCCAUGACACUGGAUACUGUCU